CAGCAGCCACGGGAAUACGUAGGUGGCAAGCGUUGUCCGGAAUUAUUGGGCGUAAAGGGCUCGCAGGCGGUUCCGUAAGUCGGAUGUGAAAUCUUGGGGCUCAACCUCAAAACUGCAUUCGAUACUGCGGGGCUAGAGGACUGGAGAGGAGAGUGGAAUUCACGGUGUAGCAGUGAAAUGCGUAGAUAUCGUGAGGAAGACCAGCGGCGAAGGCGGCUCUCUGGACAGUUCCUGACGCUGAUGCACGAAGGCCAGGGGAGCAAACGGGAUUAGAUACCCGCGUAGUCCCUGUCUCUUAUAU
rnacentral:rRNA from 1 species